rnacentral:lncRNA from 1 species
GAUCCGGCCCUCCGCGGCUCCUGCGCGACCCCACGCAAAAGCGCCCCGUGCGAAGAGCGCGGCCAGCCAGUCCGCAAAGGGCCUCGGGCAGUGCGGGCAGCACGAACGGCGCGAUCGGGGAGCAGGCGCGGCUACGCUCCGCCUCAGUGAUGUCGCCGGGAGGAUCUCCGCGCGGCUACCUCCUCUUCCGCCGCCUUCCUCCCACGCCUUCACCUCCCUCCCCCGCCGCGCUCUGCGGCGAAAAGGAGCGGGCUCCCAGGCCACCUCCCCUCUCUCCACCCAGGGGCCGCGCGUCAGUGGACCUGCAGCCCAGGCAACGGGGCUGCGGACGGCGCGCGUGCCCUGCCUCGCCUCACGCCGGUAGCUGAUGCUCCCGCGGCAGCUGCCACCCCAGCGCCCCAGCCACGGCUUCAGAGGCUCUCGCACGCUGGCUUUUUUUUUUUCCCCCCGCUUUGGUGAACUCGCAGUACUUGGGCUGAGCCCGAAAUCUCGCGAGAUGCUGCAGGCGUCAGUGCGGCUUCCCACUAGGCGCGUGGUACCCGAGGCCGGGCCGGAGCCGCAGGCCAGCCGCGAUUCCUUCGGGCGAUGCUGGGGGCUUUCCGGUCGGGGCCGCAGCCGCUUCCGGAGCCGCGGGCGAGGUGCGUUCCCCAGCCUGGUUUGCUCUGGGCUCUGACCCGCCGCCGCGAAUCUCCGCUCGUAACUCCGGGCCUGAACCUGGAGGAGGGAGGAUUUCCUCUGUGCAGCUUUCGAGCGGUAGACUCACCCUGCCAGGCAGACCUAGAUUGGCAUAACCAGAGAUCAGUUCCAGUUGUGAUGCAGUGGGUGUCUACACACUUCUGAUGACACCUUUAUUUUAAAAGCUGAUGUUCCAAGAGUCGGGGUUUCACCGUGUUAGCCAGGAUGGUCUCGAUCUCCUGACCUCGUGAUCCGCCCACCUCCGCCUCUCCAAGUGCUGGGAUUACAGGCAUGAGCCACCGCGCCCGGCCCUUGUAUUUUUAAACUUUGACUUUAUGGAGACGAACACCAUCGUUUGCUGAACACUUGAAACAUGAUGAAAGAGCCACAGAGUUGGCAGAACUGUUUGAAAAUGCUGUGCAAGCGGUCUUCUCUGUCUUCUUUAUGGCCAGUAAAAUUCUCCAGAAGAGAUUUAUGGCAGCCUCACUCCCAGUAGUUUCUGCAUUUAGUGAGAUAAGGAAUGGAUUUUCUUCUGUGUAUUGCUGACACGAACAGGAGACGGAAAUACUGAGUAGAAGAGGGCGGUUCCCUGGCUAAGGCCCCACCCUCAAGCCUGGAUACCCGCGGCCCUAAAUGAGAAGAGGCGUUUCUGUUUGGGGCCCAAAAAGUUGCUUUUUGACCCACCACGCCCCCUAUCCUGCCCCCAUAUAAACCCCAAACCCCAACCUCCAGAGCAUACCAGCAGGUGAGGAGAUACGAGGCAAGCCGACUGACGGCAAAACGACGUAGCAGAGAAAGAGAGAAGAGGAGGGACGUCUGGACACCGAGAGAUGUUUGGCUCGGGGCAGUCAGAGCGGAGUCCAGCCCCUGGGCGGCCCAACUCCAGGGGAAGAUCACCUUCCCACUUCAUCCAUCCCCACCCUUCCAGCUCCCCAUCCAUCCUGCUGAAAGCCAUUUCCACCACUCAAUAAAACCUCGCAUUCAUCCUUCAAGUCCGUGUGUGACCCGAUUUUUCCUGGAUUCUGGAAAAGAGCUCGGAAUACAGAAAGCUGUCCCCUGGUCCUUUGCCCUUGUGAAAAAGCAGAAGGUCCAUUGAGCUGGUUAACACUCCAGCUGUCUGUGGUGGCCAAGCUGAAAGAGCUUUGUAACACUGGGGUUGCAGGCACCCACCUCUAGACGCUACCGCAGAGCCAGAGCCCAAAGCCCUCACCCCGGCCUCUGCACUUGCCCAUCUGCGUGCUCCCCCUCUCGCAAGGGGUUUCUGCAGAGGGGGCUACUGAACAGGUGAGCCACACCCCUGUCGCACGCCCUGCAAGGGGAAUCAGGGAACUCUUCCGUUUCAUUGCUUUGACCACAUCCUAUAAAUCUUGUUCUCCUUGUCUUUCAGCUCCAAUUUGUUUAUACAUUCAGUUUUUACUUUUGACUUUACUCAUGAUUUAUUAUAGAAAGAUGUUUAACAAUUUUCAAGCAAAUGGAAUAAUUUUUGCUCCUCUUUCGUUGUUAAUUUAUUAUUCAUUGGAGUUAGAAAAUUGUUGCUAAAAUAAAUUCUGCAUUUUGAAAUUU